UGGGGAAUAUUGCACAAUGGGCGAAAGCCUGAUGCAGCGACGCCGUGUGAGUGAGGAAGUAUUUCGGUAUGUAAAGCUCUAUCAGCAGGGAAGAAAGAAAUGACGGUACCUGAGUAAGAAGCUCCGGCUAAAUACGUGCCAGCAGCCGCGGUAAUACGUAUGGAGCAAGCGUUAUCCGGAUUUACUGGGUGUAAAGGGAGCGUAGGCGGCAGAGCAAGUCUGAUGUGAAAGCCCGGGGCUCAACCCCGGUAGUGCAUUGGAAACUGUUCAGCUCGAGUGUCGGAGGGGUAAGCGGAAUUCCUGGUGUAGCGGUGAAAUGCGUAGAUAUCAGGAAGAACACCGGAGGCGAAGGCGGCUUACUGGACGAUUACUGACGCUGAGGCUCGAAAGCGUGGGGAGCGAACAGGAUUAGAUACCCUGGUAGUCCACGCUGUAAACGAUGAAUACUAGGUGUCGGUACCCGAAGGGUAUCGGUGCCGUCGCAAACGCAUUAAGUAUUCCACCUGGGGAGUACGUUCGCAGGAAUG
rnacentral:rRNA from 1 species